UCUGUUACAGCUAGACUCGAACCUCUCGAUCUCCUUAUCUUCUUCAUUUGCCCAGGCUUGUAUCAUGACCUUGAGAGACUUGAUAUCUUCCGGGCAUCUCCUGCAAAAAUCUUGGAACAUCCGGCGAUCAUAGAGACCAUUCUGGAAUCAAUCUAUGACGCCCCGCUCCGUGAUGUCCAUGAUAGUGGCCUUCUUGUUGAAGAAACGACGUAGAUAACUGUGCAGGGUCUCGCCUUAUUGCUGCUUGACUUGAGACAAGUCAAUGCUGU
rnacentral:lncRNA from 1 species